GAGUCUUAACCGGGCGUUAAGUUGCAGGGUAUAGACCCGAAACCCGGUGAUCUAGCCAUGGGCAGGUUGAAGGUUGGGUAACACUAACUGGAGGACCGAACCGACUAAUGUUGAAAAAUUAGCGGAUGACCUGUGGCUGGGGGUGAAAGGCCAAUCAAACCGGGAGAUAGCUGGUUCUCCCCGAAAGCUAUUUAGGUAGCGCCUCGUGAAUUCAUCUCCGGGGGUAGAGCACUGUUUCGGCUAGGGGGCCAUCCCGGCUUACCAACCCGAUGCAAACUGCGAAUACCGGAGAAUGUUAUCACGGGAGACACACGGCGGGUGCUAACGUCCGUCGUGAAGAGGGAAACAACCCAGACCGCCAGCUAAGGUCCCAAAGUCAUAGUUAAGUGGGAAACGAUGUGGGAAGGCCCAGACAGCCAGGAUGUUGGCUUAGAAGCAGCCAUCAUUUAAAGAAAGCGUAAUAGCUCACUGGUCGAGUCGGCCUGCGCGGAAGAUGUAACGGGGCUAAACUAUGCACCGAAGCUGCGGCAGCGACACUAUGUGUUGUUGGGUAGGGGAGCGUUCUGUAAGCCUGUGAAGGUGUGUCGUGAGGCAUGCUGGAGGUAUCAGAAGUGCGAAUGCUGACAUAAGUAACGAUAAAGCGGGUGAAAAGCCCGCUCGCCGGAAGACCAAGGGUUCCUGUCCAACGUUAAUCGGGGCAGGGUGAGUCGACCCCUAAGGCGAGGCCGAAAGGCGUAGUCGAUGGGAAACGGGUUAAUAUUCCCGUACUUGGUGUUACUGCGAAGGGGGGACGGAGAAGGCUAUGUUGGCCGGGCGACGGUUGUCCCGGUUUAAGCGUGUAGGUGUGUGUUCCAGGUAAAUCCGGUUCACUUUAACACUGAGGCGUGAUGACGAGGCACUACGGUGCUGAAGCAACAAAUGCCCUGCUUCCAGGAAAAGCCUCUAAGCAUCAGGUAACAUCAAAUCGUACCCCAAACCGACACAGGUGGUCAGGUAGAGAAUACCAAGGCGCUUGAGAGAACUCGGGUGAAGGAACUAGGCAAAAUGGUGCCGUAACUUCGGGAGAAGGCACGCUGACACGUAGGUGAAGUGAUUUACUCAUGGAGCUGAAGUCAGUCGAAGAUACCAGCUGGCUGCAACUGUUUAUUAAAAACACAGCACUGUGCAAACACGAAAGUGGACGUAUACGGUGUGACGCCUGCCCGGUGCCGGAAGGUUAAUUGAUGGGGUCAGCGCAAGCGAAGCUCCUGAUCGAAGCCCCGGUAAACGGCGGCCGUAACUAUAACGGUCCUAAGGUAGCGAAAUUCCUUGUCGGGUAAGUUCCGACCUGCACGAAUGGCGUAAUGAUGGCCAGGCUGUCUCCACCCGAGACUCAGUGAAAUUGAACUCGCUGUGAAGAUGCAGUGUACCCGCGGCAAGACGGAAAGACCCCGUGAACCUUUACUAUAGCUUGACACUGAACAUUGAGCCUUGAUGUGUAG
rnacentral:rRNA from 1 species